CGUGCCAGCAGCCGCGGUAAUACGUAGGGUGCGAGCGUUGUCCGGAUUUAUUGGGCGUAAAGGGCUCGUAGGUGGUUGAUCGCGUCGGAAGUGUAAUCUUGGGGCUUAACCCUGAGCGUGCUUUCGAUACGGGUUGACUUGAGGAAGGUAGGGGAGAAUGGAAUUCCUGGUGGAGCGGUGGAAUGCGCAGAUAUCAGGAGGAACACCAGUGGCGAAGGCGGUUCUCUGGGCCUUUCCUGACGCUGAGGAGCGAAAGCGUGGGGAGCGAACAGGCUUAGAUACCCUGGUAGUCCACGCCGUAAACGAUG
rnacentral:rRNA from 1 species